UAUGAAAUAGGGUGGGGAAGCAAAAAUUUUUAAAAGGGUUACUUUUUUAUACAAGUCUCCGCAAAUAUAGUGAAUAACAAAUAUAUUCCUACAAAUUUCAACUUUCAUAUAUUGUCCCUACAAAAGUCAUAAUGUUUUCAAAUAUAUCCCUAUGGUUUGUUACUGUUAGAGAACUGUUUAUUUUUUUAAUUUGGUCAUCACAAAUAUAUCCCUCCAAAAGCUAUAACAAUGUAAUAUAAGAGGGAUACAAAUGUAAACAACUAACCAGAAUUAAAUAUUUAAUCUAUGAUUAACUAUAUUUUUCUAAUGAAUUCUAACGGCAGAGAUAUAUUUGAAAAUUUCAGGACUUUUACAGAAACAAUAUAUGAAAGUUGAACUUUGUAAGAAUGUAUUUAUCAUUCACUAUGCUUGUAGGGACAUAUGAAAUGAACCCUUUUUAAAAGUAGACAUGAUGGUAAAGUGAAAAUUGCUCUAAAUCAGAGGGAGGCAAAAUGUAACUUUCAGAAACAUAGGGUAGUAAAGUAAAAAUGAGCUAAACCACAGGGGGUGCAAAGAGAAACAUUUUGAA
rnacentral:lncRNA from 1 species